AACGCGAAGAACCUUACCCAGGUUUGACAUGCAGUGGAAGUUAGCAGAGAUGUUAACGCCCUUCGGGGCCGCUGCACAGGUGCUGCAUGGCUGUCGUCAGCUCGUGCCGUGAGGUGUUGGGUUAAGUCCCGCAACGAGCGCAACCCUUAUCGUUAGUUGCCAACAGGUAAAGCUGGGAACUCUAGCGAGACUGCCUGGGUUAACCAGGAGGAAGGUGAGGAUGACGUCAAGUCCGCAUGGCCCUUAUGUCUGGGGCUACACACGUGCUACAAUGGUCGGUACAGAAGGCAGCGAAACCGUGAGGUGAAGCAAAUCCCAAAAAACCGGCCCCAGUUCAGAUUGUAGUCUGCAACUCGACUACAUGAAGACGGAAUUGCUAGUAAUGGCGAGUCAGCAACAUCGCCGUGAAUACGUUCCCGGGCCUUGUACACACCGGCUAC
rnacentral:rRNA from 1 species